UACAGGUAGUGCAGGCGUUAUUUUUCUUGACUGGGCGUAAAGGGUACGUAGGUGGUCUAAAUAACUAUAUUUGAAAUGCUAUAGAAUAACUAUAGAAUUGGAUAUAUCGAUUUUUGGGCUAAGAGUUAGGUAGAGGUUUAAGCAAAUUCUUAGGAAAGGGUAGAAUCUUAUAAUCUUAGAAUGAACACUCAAGGCGAAAGCAUUUUUCUGGGCUUAACUGACGCUAAGGUACGAAGGCAUGGGUAGCAAAUCGG
rnacentral:rRNA from 1 species